rnacentral:rRNA from 1 species
AGGGUUGCUGGAGGUAUCAGAAGUGCGAAUGCUGACAUAAGUAACGAUAAAGCGGGUGAAAAGCCCGCUCGCCGGAAGACCAAGGGUUCCUGUCCAACGUUAAUCGGGGCAGGGUGAGUCGACCCCUAAGGCGAGGCCGAAAGGCGUAGUCGAUGGGAAACAGGUUAAUAUUCCUGUACUUGGUGUUACUGCGAAGGGGGGACGGAGAAGGCUAUGUUAGCCGGGCGACGGUUGUCCCGGUUUAAGCAUGUAGGCUGAUUAUCCAGGCAAAUCCGGAUAAUCAAGGCUGAGGUGUGAUGACGAGGCACUACGGUGCUGAAGUAACAAAUGCCCUGCUUCCAGGAAAAGCCUCUAAGCAUCAGGUAACAUCAAAUCGUACCCCAAACCGACACAGGUGGUCAGGUAGAGAAUACCAAGGCGCUUGAGAGAACUCGGGUGAAGGAACUAGGCAAAAUGGUGCCGUAACUUCGGGAGAAGGCACGCUGGUGUGUAGGUGAAGUCCCUGCGGAUGGAGCUGAGACCAGUCGAAGAUACCAGCUGGCUGCAACUGUUUAUUAAAAACACAGCACUGUGCAAACACGAAAGUGGACGUAUACGGUGUGACGCCUGCCCGGUGCCGGAAGGUUAAUUGAUGGGGUUAUCCGUAAGGAGAAGCUCUUGAUCGAAGCCCCGGUAAACGGCGGCCGUAACUAUAACGGUCCUAAGGUAGCGAAAUUCCUUGUCGGGUAAGUUCCGACCUGCACGAAUGGCGUAAUGAUGGCCAGGCUGUCUCCACCCGAGACUCAGUGAAAUUGAACUCGCUGUGAAGAUGCAGUGUACCCGCGGCAAGACGGAAAGACCCCGUGAACCUUUACUAUAGCUUGACACUGAACAUUGAGCCUUGAUGUGUAGGAUAGGUGGGAGGCUUUGAAGCGUGGACGCCAGUCUGCGUGGAGCCAACCUUGAAAUACCACCCUUUAAUGUUUGAUGUUCUAACGUUGGCCCCUUACCGGGGUUGCGGACAGUGUCUGGUGGGUAGUUUGACUGGGGCGGUCUCCUCCCAAAGCGUAACGGAGGAGCACGAAGGUUAGCUAAUCCUGGUCGGACAUCAGGAGGUUAGUGCAAUGGCAUAAGCUAGCUUGACUGCGAGCGUGACGGCGCGAGCAGGUGCGAAAGCAGGUCAUAGUGAUCCGGUGGUUCUGAAUGGAAGGGCCAUCGCUCAACGGAUAAAAGGUACUCCGGGGAUAACAGGCUGAUACCGCCCAAGAGUUCAUAUCGACGGCGGUGUUUGGCACCUCGAUGUCGGCUCAUCACAUCCUGGGGCUGAAGUAGGUCCCAAGGGUAUGGCUGUUCGCCAUUUAAAGUGGUACGCGAGCUGGGUUUAGAACGUCGUGAGACAGUUCGGUCCCUAUCUGCCGUGGGCGCUGGAGAAUUGAGGGGGGCUGCUCCUAGUACGAGAGGACCGGAGUGGACGCAUCACUGGUGUUCGGGUUGUCAUGCCAAUGGCACUGCCCGGUAGCUAAAUGCGGAAGAGAUAAGUGCUGAAAGCAUCUAAGCACGAAACUUGCCCCGAGAUGAGUUCUCCCUGAGACUUUAAGUCUCCUGAAGGAACGUUAAAGACGAUGACGUUGAUAGGCCGGGUGUGUAAGCGCAGCGAUGCGUUGAGCUAACCGGUACUAAUGAACCGUGAGGCUUAACCUU